rnacentral:rRNA from 1 species
UACAGAGGUCUCAAGCGUUGUUCGGAUUCAUUGGGCGUAAAGGGUGCGUAGGUGGCGCUGUAAGUCGGGUGUGAAAUUUCGGAGCUUAACUCCGAAACUGCAUUCGAUACUGCGGUGCUUUGAGGACUGGAGAGGAGACUGGAAUUCAUGGUGUAGCAGUGAAAUGCGUAGAGAUCAUGAGGAAGACCAGUGGCGAAGGCGGGUCUCUGGACAGUUCCUGACACUGAGGCUCGAAAGCAUGGGGAGCAAACAGG